rnacentral:rRNA from 1 species
ACGUUAGCGGCGGACGGGUGAGUAAUACGUGGGUAACCUACCUAUAAGACUGGGAUAACUCCGGGAAACCGGGGCUAAUACCGGAUAACACAUGAAACCGCAUGGUUUCAUGAUGAAAGACGGUUUUGCUGUCACUUAUAGAUGGACCCGCGGCGUAUUAGCUAGUUGGUAAGGUAACGGCUUACCAAGGCAACGAUACGUAGCCGACCUGAGAGGGUGAUCGGCCACACUGGAACUGAGACACGGUCCAGACUCCUACGGGAGGCAGCAGGA